rnacentral:rRNA from 1 species
AGGGUUCGAUUCUGACUCAGGAUGAACGCUAGCGGCAGGCUUAACACAUGCAAGUCGAGGGGCAGCGGGAUGUAGCAAUACAUUGCCGGCGACCGGCGGAUGGGUGCGUAACGCGUAUGCAACCUACCUUAUACAGGGGAAUAACCUUUCGAAAGGGAGACUAACACCCCAUAGUAUUGAUUUAAGGCAUCUUAGAUUAAUUAAAUAUUUAUAGGUAUAAGAUGGGCAUGCGUAUGAUUAGCUAGUUGGUAAGGUAACGGCUUACCAAGGCGACGAUCAUUAGGGGUUCUGAGAGGAAGGUCCCCCACACUGGUACUGAGACACGGACCAGACUCCUACGGGAGGCAGCAGUGAGGAAUAUUGGUCAAUGGGCGCAAGCCUGAACCAGCCAUGCCGCGUGCAAGGGAAGACGGCCUUAUGGGUUGUAAACUGCUUUUACAUAAGACUAACCGUAUAUUUGCGAAUAUACCUGAAUGUAUUAUGAGAAUAAGGAUCGGCUAACUCCGUGCCAGCCGCCGC